rnacentral:rRNA from 1 species
AAGCUCGUAGUUGAAUUUCGGGGUUAGUAGGUUGGUCAUGCCUCUGGUAUGUACUGGUCUCACUGAUUCCUCCUUCCUUAUGAACCGUAAUGCCAUUAAUUUGGUGUUGCGGGGAAUUUGGACUGUUACUUUGAAAAAAUUAGAGUGUUUAAAGCAAGCUAACGCUUGAAUACAUUAGCAUGGAAUAAUGAAAUAGGAUGUUCGAUCUUAUUUUGUUGGUUUCUAGGAUUGACGUAAUGAUUAAUAGGGAUAGUUGGG